AUUGGACGCAUGAAGCUCUGUUCACACACCCCUCGCCCCUGUGGGGAACACAUCUCCACUCCAACGCACAUAUUUAGGCUGUUGCCACGGGAGACAUUGCAGAACCACUUGUCAUGGGGAACAGGUUUUGGGGUCCCUGCGUUUUCAUACUCGUUUUCCACGAGGCGGCUGGCUUUAGCAUCAGGAAUGAGCUGCUGGGUAAGUGUGUGCAGGUCCCGGUCCAGGAUGGGCAUCCCGGGAGCAGGGUGGUGCUGGGGGAGUGCAUCCCUGGUUCAGCGCUGCAGGAGUGGCAGUGGCUCCCUGAGCGCCUAGCCCUGAGCAGCUGGCUCACAGGAGAGUGUCUGAGUGGCCAGGAGCAUGAUCUGAGUGUCAGACUGCACCACUGUGACCCUGGGAAUGAGGAGGGGGCUGCAGGUGGCGAGGUGGGCAGGGAAGGCCAGGCAUGGGCCUGCUCUAAGAAGGGCCACCUCACACUGCAAGGAAAGGGGCUUCACCUCAGUGCUCCUCACGUGUCCUCUAAGUCGUCUAAGGUCUUCCUCUCCAAAGAGCGUAGACAGGCCAGCAAGUGGAGAACGCUGGGCAACCAUACUGUCUGUGGGAAUAGAGCCAGCCAUCACCACCACCAUCGCCACAGGUCCACACAAACUGCUGCUCUGCCCUCCUCAACAAGUACCCCUUCCAAUACAAACAGCCAACCACAGUCGAUUCCCGGGGAUGAUGUUGUUUCCCCUAACACCACUGGAAUGGACCUUGGGACAGAGCACUCUCAUCUGGUUGAAAGCACCAUGGGCCCUGAGGGCCCCUCAAUGACAUUCUUCAACGCUGAGUAUGGGUUUGGCUGGAAAGUGACCAUGCUGGUGCUGAGCUCCCUGGCUCUGGUGCUGGGGACUGUCAUGCUCUUACUCAGCAUUCACCACAACAGGAAGAAGAAAGUAGUGUGUGUGCUGAAGUCGUACACUCCUACAGGGCUUGUGAGUCAGCCGGGGUCCCCUGUGCUCAGCGAGAGAGCCCCCCUCACUCAGCACCCCAUGCGGCCGGCACACUCUCCCUCGCUACAGCGGGGAGAGAUCUUGAUCAAGUGGAAGGACGGUACCGUCACCCCGCUGUUCGACAACAACAGUUACCUGACUGACUGAAGGACGUGUGUUUGUGUGUGUGUGUGUGUGUGUGUGUGUGUCUUUGUACUUGUAGAGAGAAAGAGAAGCAAAGGGAAUCUGAAAAUCUAUUUAAGAAUCUGUGAGGUGCACAGUGAACACACACAUUUCAAUGCAUUUCAAUAUAAAAUUUUACAAGUGUGCUGAUGUGAGUCAGCAUAACGGUUAUGUUACACUUUUAACACAGGAACGUUCGGAAAAAUAUGCACAUCCAUCUUAUCAGGUGCAGAGCAAAAGAAACUAUCAAAGAAAACAUGUAUGUCUGCAACUCUGGUAUGCUCCCAUGGUGAUUUAAUCAGACAACGGUUAGAUCCCAGUUGGAUCUUUGUCAGGUCACAUUUUCAACCCACACAUUUCAUGGAAUGUCUGGAAAUCCCUCACUUCCCUUAGAAGUAUCUGGCCUAACUGAGAUGAAAGGUAGCAAUGAAGUCCUGCCAGUAGAUAUAGCUGGACCUGGUUGAAGGACCGUUACGGAAUAUUCCAAACCCCUGAUGAACUAGACAAACAGGCUUUCCCUCUAACUAAGUACUCGUCAAAAGUUUGGACAUACCUACUCAUUCAAGGGUUUGUCUUUAUUUUUUUAAACAAUUUUCUACAUUGUAUAAUAAUAGUGAAGACAUCAAAACUAUGAAAUAACACAUGUAAUCAUGUAGUAACGAAAAAAGUGUUAAACAAAUUAAAAUACAUUUUAUAUUUGAGAUUCUUCUAAGUGGCCGCCCUUUGCGUUGAUGACAGCUUUGCAGAUUCUUGGCAUUCUCUCAACCGGCUUCACCUGGAAUGCUUUUCCAACAGUCUUGAAGGAGUUCCCACAUAUGCUGAGCACUUGUUGGCUGCUUUUCCUUCACUUUGCGGUCCAACUCUUCCCAAACCAUCUCAAUUGGGUUGAUGUCAGGGGAUUGUGGAGGCCAGGUCAUCUGAUGCAGCACUCCAUCACUCUCCUUCUUGGUCAAAUUGCCCUUACACAGCCUGGAGGUGUGUUGGGUCAUUGUCCUGUUGAAAAACACAUGAUAGUCCCACUAAGCGCAAACCAGAUGGGAUGUCGUAUCGCUGCAGAAUGCUGUGGUAGCCAUGCUGGUUCAGUGUGCCUUGAAUUCUACAUAGAUCACAGACAGUGUCCCCAGCAAAGCACCCUGACACCAUCACACCUCCUCCAUGCUUCACGGUAGGAACCACACAUGCAGAGAUCAUUCAUUCACCUACUCUGCUUCUCACAAAGAAACGGCGGUUGGAACCAAAAAUCUCAAAUUGGGACUCAUCAGACCAAAGGACAGAUUUCCACCUGUCUCAUGUCCAUUGCUUGUGUUUCUUGGCCCAAGCAAGUCUCUUCUUAUUAGUAGUAGUGGUUUCUUUGCAGCAAUUUGACCAUCAAGGCCUGAUUAAUGCAGUCUCCUCUGAACAGUUGAUGUUGAGGUGUGUCUGUUACUUGAACUCUGUGAAGCAUUUAUUUGGGCUGCGAAAUCUAAUCAACCUGUCCUCUGCAGCAGAGGUAACUCUGGGUCUUUCUUUCCUUUGGCGGUCCUUUUGAGAGCUUCAUCUUAGAGCAGUGGUUCUUAACCUGGGUUCGAUCGAACCCCAGGGGUUCGGUGAGUCAGUCUCAGGGGUUCGGCGGAGGUCAAGACAAACAUCCGAUUCAUAUGAUUCGUGAUGACACGCUCCGCUUGGCCAUCAUUGGCUGCAGGUGAACACGCUACAUCGCUUGGCCUAUCUGUGCUGCAGGGAAUUUGGCGCGCUCAGUUUGUGACUAUGGUGAUGGUACGUCUUGUGAUUUCUUUCUUAAUAUUUUAAUCCCUUCAUACUUACUAUGUCGAGCAAAAAAAGAAAGUGGUCGGACGAAUAUGUACAAUAUGGAUUUACAUGUAUAACCGAACGUGAUGGGAGUCAGUGUCCUAACUGCAUGAUUUGCAAUGCCAAGUUGAGAAAUUCUAGUCUAGCACCGGCAAAACUAAGAGAACACUUCCUUAAGCUGCAUGGAGAUGGAAAAUACAAGAACACAACGCUCGCUGAAUUCAAGGUGAAGAGAGCCAGAUUCGAUGAAAAGGCUACACUGCCUGUUCUCGGCUUUGUACCCAUCAACAAACCGAUCCUCACAGCAUCGUACGAAGUUGCUUACCUGAUCGCAAAGCAGGGCAAACCACACACCAUUGGUGAAACACUCAUAAAACCAGCUGUGUUGAAGAUGGCGAAUAUCAUGCUGGGAAAAGAGGCCGAAGUUAAGUUAUCCCAAAUUCCUCUUUCAAAUGACACCAUCAGCGACAGAAUAGAGGACAUGAGCAAAGACAUCUUGGCUCAAGUAGUUGCAGAUCUGAUUUCAAGCCCGGCAAAAUUCAGCCUUCAACUCGACGAGACCACAGACGUUUCCAAUCUAAGCCAGCUUGCUGUAUUUGUGCGCUAUGUGAAAGACGACGUGAUAAAGGAAUAAUUUUUAUUUUGUAAGCCUCUUACAACAACAACUAAGGCAGCCGAUGUGAAGAAACUUGUGGAUGACUUCUUCAAAGACAACAAUCUUUCGUGGGAUAUGGUUUCUGCAGUUUGUUCGGACGGAGCUCCAGUCAUGCUGGGAAGAAAGUCUGGUUUUGGUGCGCUAGUGAAAGCCGAUGCACCACACAUCAUUGUUACGCAUUGUAUUCUGCACAGGCAUGCGUUGGCAACAAAAACCUUGCCUCCAAAACUGGCAGAAGUAUUAAAAAUUGUAGUGGAAUGCGUGAACUAUGUGCGAACUAGUGCUCUGCGGCAUCGCAUCUUCAGUGAGCUGUGUAAAGAAAUGGGCUCUGAAUUCGAGGUACUUCUGUACCAUUCUAACGUUAGGUGGUUAUCCCGGGGACAGGUGCUGAAUCGUGUUUUUGCCGUGCGUGUGGAAUUAGCCCUGUUUUUGCAAGAGCACCAACAUUGUCAUGCAGAUUGCUUCAAAAAUUCUGAGUUCAUUCUCAUUUUAGCGUACAUGGCUGAUAUCUUCACAGCUCUCAAUCAUCUCAAUCAAAAGAUGCAGGGCGGUGGAGUCAACAUCAUCGAAGCGGAGGAAAACCUGAAGGCUUUUCAAAAAAAGCUACCGUUAUGGAAACGACGAACAGAGAACAAUAACUUCGCAAACUUUCCCCUGCUGGACGACUGUGUAAGUAAGAUCGAAGAUGUAUCUGGAAUCGGAGACAUUUCUGUACCUGCUGAACUGAAGCAAGCAAUUGCCACGCACUUAGAUGAGCUUGCAAAGUCUCUCGACGGAUACUUCCUACAAGAGAGUCAUAUCCAGCAUGGGUGAGACAGCCGUUCACGUUUAGUGUUGAGACAACAGAUGUCAAUGAUGAAUACCUCGAUGAAAUCAUUGAAAUUCAGCAGAGCCAGGUUCAACAGCAACUCUUCAGAACAACAACGCUUUCAACGUUUUGGUGUCAACAAAUGGUAACGUACCCUGUUAUUGCUAAGAAAGCUCUGGAGAUUUUCAUACCGUUUGUUACAACAUAUCUUUGCGAGCAAUCCUUUUCGAGGAUGCUGGACAUAAAAACGAAGAAAAGGAACAGACUUUGUUGCGAAAAUGACAUGAGAGUGGCACUUGCCAAGGUGAAGCCGCGCAUUUCUGAACUGGUCUCUGAAAGGCAACAGCAGAAGUCACACUGAUUUGCAGUAAAUAUUCAUUAUUAUGUUUUUGUUUUUGUGUGAAAAUGAUAAUCUGUGUGAAAAUGUUUUGAUGAUUUUGUUCUUUGAACACAGUGAUGUUGAUGCACGGUUCAUUUUGUGCACCAGUCAAAUAUAUACCUAUGUUUUGAAUUGGAUUUUUUUUUUCAAUUAAGAAGGGUUCGGUGAAUGUGCAUAUGAAACUGUUGGGGUUCAGUACCUCCAACAAGGUUAAGAACCACUGUCUUAGAGCUUUAUAGUUUUUGCAACUGCACUUGAAGAAACAUUAACAUUUCUUGAAGUUUUCCAGAUUGACUGACCUUAAUGUCUUCAAGUAAUGAUGGACUUUUGUUUCUCUUUGCUUAUUUGAGCAGUUCUUGCCAUAAUAUGGACAAAGCCCUAUUUGGUAAAAGACCAUCUUCUGUAUACCACCCCUACCUUGUCACAACACAACUGAUUGGCUCAAACGCAUUAAGAAGGAAAGAAAUUGACAUGUGACCUGUUAAUUGACAUGUAUUCCACGUGAGAUAAUGCCAAGAGUGCAAAGCUGUCAUCAAGGCAAAGGUUGGAAACUUUGAAGAAUCUCAAAUAUAAAAUAUAUUUUGAUUUGUCUAAUAUUUUUUGGGUUACUACAUGAUUCCAAAUGUGUUAUUUCAUAGUUUUGAUCUCUUCACUAUUAUUCUACAAUGUAGAAAAUAGUAAAAAAAAAUAAAGAAAAUCCUUUGAAUGAGUAGGUGUGUCCAAACUUUUGACUGGUACUGUAUGUCCAUGUGCUUCCAGCAGGUGUGAGAAUGCAGUGGAUUGUACAUACUGUAGUCGUAACAUGUUCAAGGCCUCCUGAGGUCUAAGGCACUGCAUCGCUGUGCUGAGGCUUCACUACAGACUCGGGAUCAAAUCUAAGCUCUGUCACACCCGGCCGUGACCGGGAGACCCAUGAGGCGGCGCACAAUUGGCCCAGCAUCUUCCGGGUUGGGGGAAGGUUUGGCCGGCCGGGAUGUCCUUCUCUCAUCGUGCUCUAGCGACUCCUUUGGCGGGCCGGGUACCUGCAAGCUGACUUCGGUUGGACGGUGUUUCCGCCGACACAUUGGUGUGGCUGGCUUCUGGGCUAAGCAAGCAGUGUGGCUUGGCAGGGUCGUGUUUCGGAGGACACAUGGCUCUCGACCGUUGUCUCUCCCGAGUUUGUAGUAGAGUUGCAGCGAUGAGACAAGACUGUAACUACCAAUUGGAUGCCACAAAAAAAGUGUUAAAAGUAAAAAAUGUAUUUUCAUUUUUUUAAAGGUGCUACACCUAGAAUUUCUCCCCCAUGUGGAAGCUAGGUGAAUUGCAAGAGCACUAGACUGCAUUCAAAAUAAAUCCCCCACAAACCAUUUCCAUCAUCAAAUCAAAUUUAUUUAUAUAGCCCUUCGUACAUCAGCUGAUAUCUCAAAGUGCUGUACAGAAACCCAGCCUAAAACCCCAAACAGCAAGCAAUGCAGGUGUAGAAGCACGGUGGCUAGGAAAAACUCCCUAGAAAGGCCAAAACCUAGGAAGAAACCUAGAGAGGAACCAGGCUAUGUGGGGUGGCCAGUCCUCUUCUGGCUGUGCUGGGUGGAGAUUAUAACAGAACAUGGCCAAGAUGUUCAAAUGUUCAUAAAUGACCAGCAUGGUCGAAUAAUAAUAAGGCAGAACAGUUGAAACUGGAGCAGCAGCAUGGCCAGGUGGACUGGGGACAGCAAGGAGUCAUCAUGUCAGGUAGUCCUGGGGCAUGGUCCUCCGAGAGAGAGAAAGAAAGAAAGAAAGAAUUAGAGAAUGCACACUUAGAUUCACACAGGACACCGAAUAGGACAGGAGAAGUACUCCAUAUAUAACAAACUGACCCUAGCCCCCCGACACAUAAACUACUGCAGCAUAAAUACUGGAGGCUGAGACAGGAGGGGUCAGGAGACACUGUGGCCCCAUCAUAGCCACCUAAUCAUCCCCAGCUUCCAAUUGGCUUAUCCACCCCUCUCCUCCCCUUGUAGCUGUCCCCCAGUCAACUUACCUGGUAAAAUAAGGGUUGAAUGAGAAUGGCCGCAAUAAACAUGAAAUACAUUUUUUUCAUCAAAUGUAUCGAAUAUCGAUGGAAUUAUCAGCCGAUGUCAAUAUACCGGUAAAAAUCAAUAUACCAAUAACGGCCGACAAUAUCGGUGAAUAUAUAUAUUAGUCAUGUUCUAGAGUAAAUUCAUUUGGGUGGUCAAACUUAUUACAGUGCCAGUCAAAAGUUUGGACACACCUACUCAUUUAAGGGUUUUUCUUUAUUUUGACUAUUUUAUACAUUGUAGAAUAAUAGUGAAGACAUCAAUACUAUGAAAUAACACAUCAGGAAUGAUGUAGUAACCAAAAAAGUGUUAAACAAAUCUAAAUAUAUUUGAGAUUCUGUAAUGUAGCCACCCUUUGCCUUGAUGACAGCUUUGCACACUCUUGGAAUUCUCUCAACAAUUUAUUUCCUUCUUUUGAGCCAAUCAGUUGUGUUGUGACAAGGUAGGAGUGGUAUACAGAAGAUAGCCCUAUUUGAUAAAAGGCCAAGUACAUAUUAUGGCAAGAACAGCUCAAAUAGCAAAGAGAAAUCACAGUUCAUCAUUACUUUAAGACAUGAAGGUCAGUCAAUCUGGAACAUUUCAAGAACUUUGCUGAUUGCAUUUAUUUAGAGUUCAAGGCACACUUAAUCAGCAUAGCUUCCACCGCAUUCUGCAGCGAUGCCAUCUGGUUUGAGCUUAGUGGGACCGUCAUUUGUUUUUCAACAGGACAAUGACCCAACACCUCCAGGCUGUGUAAGGGCUAUUUAACCAAGAAGGAGAGUGAUGGAGUGCUGCAUCAGAUGGCCUGGCCUCCACAAUCACCUGACCUCAACCCAAAUUAGAUGGUUGGACCUCAGAGUGAAGGAAAAGCAGCCAACAAGUGCUCAGAACUCCUUCAAGACUGUUGGAAAAUAAUUCCAGAUGAAGCUGGUUGAAAGAAUGCCAAGAGUGUGCAAAGCUGUCAUCAAGGCAAAGGGUGGCUACUUUGAAGAAUCUCAAAUUUAAAAUAAACUUUUUUGGUUACUACAUGAUUCCAUAUGCAUUAUUUCAUAGUUUUGAUGUCUUCUCUAUUAUUCUACAAUG